CAGAAGGAAGAGAGGUUGGUCUGAGUUUGGGCACCUCUCACACCUAGAGGUGGAAGCUGGAGGAGAAACAGUGCCGUCCUAAAUCCAAGGGAAGAAAGUAUUUCAAGCCAGAGGGCAACUGUGGUGGAGUGGACAGGUCAAGACUCACUGCUGAGGUGCUCAGGAGCACACCAAGCCUGCCAGGACUGCAGAAGGCCCGAGGCCACCCAGACCCCCACUGCUCUUCUGCUGGGCUCUUGAGAGAACCUGCUUGUCUACUGUAGUGCUGGCAAAUGCAGCAGGCAGAGGCACUUUUCCUGGUUUCCUGACUCACACACAGACUCCUGGUCUUUCCCCACUGGCUCCACAAGCACAGGCAGACUUACUCUGGUCAGAUUACAGGAAGUGGGGCAGGGGAUUUAGCUCGGUGGCACAGCGCCUGCUUGACAAGCACAACGUCGUGAGUUCGAUUUCCGGUACCGGGGGAAAAGAAAAGAUUACAGGAAGUGUGUAAAAAAAAAAAAGAUGGUGUGAAAAGGAAACACUGAACAAAUAUGACAGCACUUUUGCUGAUCAAGUUACAUUUUUUUGUUUUUGGUAUCUGGAAUUGAACUCAGGACCUCGCGCUUGUCAGGCAAUCUGUGCCGCUGAGCUUGUACAAGAUUGUACCACUCGACAAAGACUUGGUGGCAGAAGCUACUGUCCAUGGCCACAAGGAGGGCUGGCUUCUCUGGUUUCCUCAAGAACCCAACUAAAAGGGGUUUCACUUCUCAGCAGAGGCAACGCUUACACUACACAGUGCCCGCAGUUUGUUUUUGCAGGCACAUUUGCACAGUGAAUGUCUGUGCUGUGUGCUGGUGGCCUCGGCUGCUGUGACCCACCUUGCUCGCCCUGCCUCAGCCUCAGCCGGGGCUGCAUGACUGGAUGGCCAGGCUGCUGCACUUUCCCUGCAUCCGGAAAGAUUUGCUCAUUGCCGGGUAAACAAGCUCUCUGCGUUAGCACCGAGGCUGGGCAGGAAGCAUGAGGAUGUAACUCCUUCAACUUCCUGGCGUUGUCUUUUCCUUUCCUCCUGUCUGUUGCACCUCUCCUCAUUCUUCCCAAACCCUGCAUACAAUCUACAGCUGCACAUGGCCACAGCUGGCAGUUGGUCAGGCGGGCACAGCCUUGUGCGGGAGUCUCGUGCUGGGUUGCUUGCCAUGCUCCGUUUGGGCCAAAGAUGCAGGAGCUUCUAGAGGUGCUGUGACUCACAGUUGUUCUGAGCAUGAAGAGCACCACUUGCCCUGUCAAUGGGGACACAGGUUAACACACUAUAUUUUAACCAGGUGCAGUACUGCAAAUCUGUAGUUUCAGCACUCUAGGAAACUGAGGAAGGAGGAUUGCCAAAUUUGAGCUUAAUCUGAAUGAUUUAGCAACUGAGAACAUGUCUCAAAAUUUGAAAAAAGGGCUGUGAUGUAGUUCUGUGCAAAGGCCCUAAGUUCAAGGCCCAGUACUAACAAAACACAACACAACAAAACAAAACAUCUUGUUCAGAUGGCCGACCAGGGCUAUCAGUCUGCACCUUUGAGGGCUAAAGGGAAGGUGACACUGCACACUUGGGAAAAUGUUCAUCCCCCUCACACUUUCUUUCACAUAUGCCAUAAAAAUGCAAAAGAAGGGAGCAAUUCCAAGAAAGAGAACAGGAAGCAGCUGAUGACACAGAAGAUCCUGGUCUGGCUGAGUACAGAACUCUGGUCUCCAGAGUAGUAGUGCUAAACCUUGAUCAAGCUGCCUAUACCUUUAAGAGUCUGAUGGGAGGUACAGAUUCUCUCCCCAGAAAAAAACAUUCAUCAUGCACACAAGUUAUUUGCUUACAACCUCCAUACUUCUGUGAAAACCCUUUUCACCACCCAGGACUACAUGGGCCAUGGCACAAAUAUUCCUAGUUUAGAAGCAGUUGGAAGCAGUUACUAUCAAAAGCCCUUCUACAGGCAGAUGGAAAGGAAGCCUUAACUUCAAAGGAAGUUCCCCCAUCACUGGAAAUGUGGAGCUAACCUCAAGCAGGAGGAAGACAGCAAGAGCUGAUGGCUCCUCAAAGACAGAUUUUAGUUCACUGGAAGUGCAUCUUUCUGCGGGAACAGCUGUAUACCUACCAUUUGUGCUAAUUAAUUUGCCAUUCUCAGUUCAGAUGUGUGUGGAGGGAAGGAUGAUCCCUUCUGAAUUAAAAUCCACAGAUCCAGCUGGAAGUGAUUUAAACUCAUCACCAAAAGAAUUUGUUCUUAUAAAGAUGAA